UCCUUCUGCAUGACACAACAACCUGCCGCGUUGUUGUGCGACCUGCCGUGUCUGCAGAAGGA
rfam:Pyronema omphalodes CBS 100304, CBS100304, WGS project CATG01000000 data, contig: Pcon_v1_contig923